rnacentral:lncRNA from 1 species
UUAAUCAGAUUUUCUUAUUUCCUUUCUCUUCCCUGCUAAGCAAGAUGCAUUGCGAUUUCCUCUUCUGUGGACGCACUGGAAUAUGAUCCGGGACUAAUUCCUGAGACAUCAGGUCAGAGAUCUUAGGAGUAGAUGCCGUGGGGAGAAGGAAUUCUACGACUGAUUGAGCCAACAAAUCCUAGCUAGAAUCUAAUCUGGAAAGAGCUCUCUCCUUGUUAGUUUUUCACAGACUGAACCUUUUUUCAUCUACUUGUUUGUUCUCUGCUCUCUCCUCGUCACUUUAUUUUCUUUUUCUUUUUUCCUCUUACAUCUCUCUUAGUCUUCUUUAUCUUCAUCUACUUAUGCUAUUUCUAACUGAUUUUUGUUUUGUUUACAGAUCUGAGGAGGACCAGUGAUGAAACGGGAAGGGACUUCAUCUACUUAUGCUAUUUCUAACUGAUUUUUGUUUUGUUUACAGAUCUGAGAAGGACCAGUGAUGAAACGGGAAGGGGAAGUGGUGGUGUAACGGAGCAUACGCGCCGGAGGUGGUGGUGGCGUGACGAAUCGGAGGAACCGCAGAUGCUGUAUCUAUCAGACCAACACCAGUGGCUUCCCGACCCGAUCGAGUAGUCGCUUUAGAUGGAACCACUCCGAGUCGCCGCUUCAUAUGGAACCACUCCGAUUCGUCGUGGUGCCGUUCAACCAGUGGUGGAAACCGUGCCGCCGUGGCUGAACCCAUAGAGAUGAUGAUGGUGUAUUUGUGUAUUUGUGUAUAUUUGUGUAUUUAUCUUUGUAAUUUUACUUUGAGAAAAUGACUAGGAUAGCACUAAAAAAGUUUGUGUCACAAAUAUAACCUCCUAAGAAUAAAAAUGACCAAAAUAGCACUUAAUGUUUUAUCAAAAGAGAUAAAUAUACAUUUAUACUCCAAUGGUAAAUUAAUUUAGACAUUAGGGUUUAUAGUUAAGGGGUGGAGUUUAGGAUUUAGGGUUUAG